rnacentral:rRNA from 1 species
CCUACGGGGUGCAGCAGUAGGGAAUCUUCCACAAUGGGCGCAAGCCUGAUGGAGCAACACCGCGUGAGUGAAGAAGGGUUUCGGCUCGUAAAGCUCUGUUGUUGGAGAAGAAUGUGCGCGAGAGUAACUGUUCACGCAGUGACGGUAUCCAACCAGAAAGUCACGGCUAACUACGUGCCAGCAGCCGCGGUAAUACGUAGGUGGCAAGCGUUAUCCGGAUUUCUUGGGCGUAAAGCGAGCGCAGAUGGGUGCUUAGGUCUGAUGUGAAAGUCUUCGGCUUAACCGAAGAAUUGCAACUGAUACUGGGCGACUUGAGUGCAGUAGAGGUUGGUGGAACUCAAUGUGUAGCGGGGGAAUGCGUAGAUAUAAGGAAGAACACCGGUGGCGAAGGCGGCUGUCUGAUCUGCCACUGACGCUGAGGCUCGAAAGCAUGGGUAGCGAACAGGAUUAGAUACCCGGGUAGUC